AAUAGAUACCCAGGUAGUCCACGCCGUAAACGAUGAGUGCUAAGUGUUAGAGGGUUUCCGCCCUUUAGUGCUGCAGCUAACGCAUUAAGCACUCCGCCUGGGGAAUACGGCCGCAAGGCUGAAACUCAAAGGAAUUGACGGGGGCCCGCACAAGCGGUGGAGCAUGUGGUUUAAUUCGAAGCAACGCGAAGAACCUUACCAGGUCUUGACAUCCUCUGCCAACCCUAGAGAUAGGGCGUUCCCCUUCGGGGGACAGAGUGACAGGUGGUGCAUGGUUGUCGUCAGCUCGUGUCGUGAGAUGUUGGGUUAAGUCCCGCAACGAGCGCAACCCUUGAUCUUAGUUGCCAGCAUUCAGUUGGGCACUCUAAGGUGACUGCCGGUGACAAACCGGAGGAAGGUGGGGAUGACGUCAAAUCAUCAUGCCCCUUAUGACCUGGGCUACACACGUGCUACAAUGGAUGGUACAAAGAGCUGCGAACCCGCGAGGGUAAGCGAAUCUCAUAAAGCCAUUCUCAGUUCGGAUUGU
rnacentral:rRNA from 1 species